rnacentral:rRNA from 1 species
GAUGAACGCUGGCGGCGUGCCUAAUACAUGCAAGUCGAGCGAACGGACGAGAAGCUUGCUUUUCUGAUGUUAGCGGCGGACGGGUGAGUAACACGUGGAUAACCUACCUAUAAGACUGGGAUAACUUCGGGAAACCGGAGCUAAUACCGGAUAAUAUUUUGAACCGCAUGGUUCAAAAGUGAAAGACGGUCUUGCUGUCACUUAUAGAUGGAUCCGCGCUGCAUUAGCUAGUUGGUAAGGUAACGGCUUACCAAGGCAACGAUGCAUAGCCGACCUGAGAGGGUGAUCGGCCACACUGGAAGUGAGACACGGUCCAGACUCCUACGGGAGGCAGCAGUAGGGAAUCUUCCGCAAUGGGCGAGAGCCUGACGGAGCAACGCCGCGUGAGUGAUGAAGGUCUUCGGAUCGUAAAACUCUAUUAUUGGGGAAGAACAUAUGUGUAAGUAACUGUGCACAUCUUGACGGUACCUAAUCAGAAAGCCACGGCUAACUACGUG